AUGGUCGUCUGGCUGAGGCCCGCGCACAUCUCUCCUCUUCCUCGGCUACUCCUACCGGGGGUACUCCGAGCGUCGGUCCUCUCGCGACGGGAGCCCCGGAGGAGAUCCGGGGCCGCACCCGCGCGCGUACUGCUGCCCUUCGCGCCCAGAGCGCUUCACGUGUCUUGGGGUCAAGCAGCCCCCCGAGGAUGCGUGAUGCGGACCUUCUUCUGGAACAUCCAUGGUUUCGGCCAAGCUGGUCGGCGCCGCCAACUCAUCGACUACAUGCGAAUCGAGCGAAUUGACAUUGUGGCAAUUCAAGAAACGAUGCGGACUGAAUUCUCCUUGUCAGAACUUGAGCAUCUAAGCUCCGACUUGUUUGCCUGGCAUUGGCUCCCUUCUAGUGGGAGUACGGGCCACUCAGGUGGCAUCCUCCUAGGCGUAAAGGAUGCCACCUUCGAGGUUGGAAGC
rnacentral:rRNA from 1 species